rnacentral:piRNA from 1 species
UUUUCAAGCACUACGUUUUUA